rnacentral:misc_RNA from 1 species
GCAGAAUACUGGUUAAGCUAAUCCUAUUUCAUGUCUGUCUUUCAUAGUUGAUACUUGAGAAAACGCGUCACCUGGAAUAUGGAAGGAUGUUAGUCGUCAAAGAUGUUGACGACUAACAUCAUGAUUAUGCUCUUGACGCGAAGUCCCGAAUAGGGGACCAUCACUGAGCAAACUUGCACAAACAGUGAACUAGAAUCUUAUGUCCCUAUUGCAAUUGUAGCAACUCUUGAACACUAAGGAUCCGUUUGGUUUGAUGUGUUAUUAGAUGAAAUAUUUAUGGUAUAAAAUUUGGUAUUUGCUUUAUCUAGUGACUCCUUUGUAAUUUCAGUCUUGC